UCCCAUGGAGAGGAGUUAUCAUAGAGCUGCUGGCAUCCCACGGAGAGGAGUUAUCAUCAGACAACAUCACUGAGUGGAGAAGCAGAUGCUCACGGAAAAGGAAGAGGUACCAGUCCCAAAGCCCAGGUUAUUAUGUACUACUAGGGGCUCGUCAGAGGGUUUAUUCAUUUGGAGAAAGCAAUGUCAUGUUUAGAGGCUGAGGGCCCUAACAUGGAAAGGUUCAGCAAGGUUUGAAGAUGGUUUAUGGCUUGCAGAGAGACUUUAAAGGAGAAGCAGAUGAAGAAAAGUGUGCAGUCUAGGCUGGACACAUACUUCAAGAAAUCUCCCACACCAUCUGCCAUUUCUAACAUAGAUUUUCUCUUUGAAAGUGUUGAUGAUAACCUGUACUGACCUGAACCCAUCAUGGGUAUCCAAGGUCCACCACUUGAACCCUCUCCAGUUUCUUCAGGUAUCAUUCCAGAUCCACAAGUUAUCCCUUAAUCCCUGCCCAAUUCACCCUCUCAAUGUCCAUCAGACUCCUUAGCACCUGCAGAUUCCACAUCAUACUA